AGGGAUCCUUAAAUAAGGUCUAAUCCAAUUUAUAUCUCCUAAUAAUUUUUGAAAAUCAUUUAGUGUCUUUAGAUGAUUUUCUCUUAUACUAAUCUUUUGUGGGGUGACAUACCAUAAAGUAAUAGUGGCUCCUAAGAAAUGACUAACAUUUGACUGCUGUACUUUUUCUGGUGCAAUAACCAAGCCAUUAUUUUUUAAAGUUUCAUUAAGCAAGCCAUAAGCUUGCUGUAUACUUUCUUCUUCAGGUCCACUAAUCACAAUAUCGUUCAUAUAAUGACAAAUUUUUAAGGAGAGGAAAUCAUCCCGAACCAGUAGCAAAGCUUUUCCUACAUAUAACUGACAUAUAGUAUGGCUAUUUGCCAUUCCUUGGGGUAAUACCCGCCAUUGAUACAUUUUAUCAGGCUCCAUAUGAUUAAUAGAAGGCAAGGUAAAUGCAAACCCAAGUUUAUCUUUCUUAUUUAAUGGAAUGGAAAAGAAACAAUCCUUAAUAUCUACUACUAUAAUUCUCCAGUCCUUAGGUAGAGCUGAGAGUAGGGGGAGUCCUCUUUGUACAGGACCCAUAACUUGCAUUUGUGCAUUAAUGGCUCUUAGGUCAUGUAACAAUCUCCAUUUACCUGACUUUUUCUUUACAACAAAAAUAGAGGUAUUCCAGGGUGAUUGUGUGGGUUCCACAUGUCCCAGGUCUAAUUGUUCUUGUACUAAUUCUUUAGCUGCUUUUAACUUCUCAGAGGGUAAAGGCCACUGAGGCACCCACACCGUGUCCUCCGUACACCACGGAAUGGGCAAAGGCUCCUCAGCGUCCCCUAGAAAAAAACCCAGCCCUUUCUUGUCUGCUUUUUCUGUGGCUUUAACUGGUGAAAUUCUACCUUGUAAGUUUUUUCCAAGACCUAGUCCAGGUAUAUAUCCCAUUCCUUUGAUCAUUUCCUUGCUUUUCUGAGAAUAAUUUACUGGGUAGAAUGCUUUUAUCCGCUCCUGUAUCCAUUAUACCUUGAAAGGGUUUUCCUUCUAUUUGUAAAGAUAUGUACUUUCUUUUCAAACCUACACUUUCUAUCCUUUGUAUACUGCUUUUGCAUAUGACCUGUUUCCUUGGGUUCGUUCAUGUUAUUUAGAAUGACUCCAACCUUGAGAUUCCAAUUUUAAGCUAACUUUCUGUUACAAGCAAAAGGCUGCCUUUAAGAGCUCCAUUUGCAAUCGGCCCUCAGCGGGGCUUUUUCAGCUGUACUUGACUCCCAGCCACUGUGCAGCUAACUUAUCAGUUUCUGCUGUGUAGACUGAGACUGCCUUUUAUAAUUUUCAACAUGAAACACAGAACAACAAUCAUUCAAUCAUCCAAACAAAAACAAACAUGAAUUGACAGACAUAUAGACAAUAUGGUGCACCAAAAACAGAUGAUAGAACUUGAUGUUUCAAAGGGACACAGAUAUCCUAUCCGGAGCUAAAAAUAUCUCCAUAGGAGCCAGAGAGGAAGCAGGACGUCUCCCGUUUUCCUUCUGUCCCUAUGAGAGCUCUGAAAUAGCUUAUUUUCAUUUUUUCUCCUUCUUCUGGGAAAUCUGCACAGUGGAUGUUUACUCCUCUUUCCCUGAGAGCUAUCUUUAAGCCUUUGAUGAAGGCUGCCUCUUUAGUCAAAGUCCUCGAGAGGAGGGUAAAUUGACUUAGUUUUUUGUUCUUCAUUUUUUAUAUUAUCCUUUGUAUCCUUUGUAUCUUUAUAUUUUAGCUUCCCUUAUUUUUCUAUCUAUAUUUCUUAAGUUACUUAUUUUUCUGCGCGUGUCUUCUUUUUCAUUUCUCUCUGUUUCUGAUAUGCCUUCUUGGUACUCCUGCAAAACUCACUGCCCUUCACAACCCUAGCAACAAUUACCGGACCUACUGCGUAGGAAAGCAUACCUCUCAAAGACUCACAUUAAUUUCUUUUUACUUACUGGUACCACCGUUCCCCAGCUGAAGAGUUCUGAAUCCACGCAGUUGAAUCCUUCUCAACAGUCUGUUUUGCAGGAACACUUCAUUACCACCGUUCCGCAGGUGAAGAGUUCUGAAUCCACACCGGAUCCUUCUCAGCAGUCUGUUUUAUGGGAACACUUUAUUAACCGCUCCUUCCCCGUGAUGCAGUUCUGAAUUCUCCCUGUAUCAGGGGGUCUUUGCUCGUGCCUGAAGAUGUUUCUUUUCCCGGGUUUUGGCACCACUUCUUGCACGCUCCUGACUCCCAAGCAAGAAUGUCACCGCAAAAGGAUCCUUCUGCACACGUUUAUUGGGAGAGAUUGAUUGCAGAGGUGAAGAGACCCCGAGCCCAGAACUGGUGCUGCUUAUAUAGGCCUAGGAGAGGCGUGUCUUACACCCGGAUUGGUUAUGCAUUCUACCUCAUUUGCAUGUUCCUCAUCUGAUUGGUUAUUCUCUCUCAGUACCUCACAGAACCUCAUUAACAUACUUCAUUUGCAUGUCUCACAUCUGAUUGGUUAUUCUGUCAGUACCUCACGGAACCUCAUUAACAUACCUCAUUAUCAUGCCCCGGCCAGGCAGUGUUUUGGCAAAAAACGUUACUGCAUAUUUACACAUUGGUUGUUUGCCCAAACUUAUGCCUGGUGGCCAGCGGUAGCCAGCACAACCCUGCAACAGCACAUGUGGCUUCCCACAGACAGAUCUGUGAGCUCUUUUGAAAUCUUAAGGGAUGCUGAUUAAUAACAUACUCAAAAGGAAACCUGGAGUAAAAGAUUAGAUUUAAAAAAAUUUUUUUUUCUUUUUGGUUUUUUCUUUUUUUUAAUACAUUUUUUAAUUAGGUAUUUUCUUCAUUUACAUUUCCAGUGCUAUCCCAAAAGUCCCAGAUACCCUCCCCCCACCCGGCAACACACGCACUUCCACUUCUUGGCACUGGUGUUUCCCUGUACUGGGGCACAUAAAGUUUGCAAGACCUAGGGCCCUCUCUUUCCUCUGAUGGCCGACUAGGCCAUCUUCUAGUACAUAUGCAGCUAGAGACAUGAUCUCCAGGGGGUACUGGUAAGUUCAUAUUGUUGUUCCACCUAUAGGGUUGCAGAUGCCUUUAGCUCCUUGGGUACUUUCUCUAGCUCCUCCAUUGGGGGCCCUGUUAUCCAUCCAAUAGCUGACUGUGAGCCUCCACUUCUGUGUUUGCUAGGCGCCGGCAUAGCCUCACAAGAGACAGCUCUAUCUGGGUCCUUUCAGCAAAAUCUUGCUAGUGUAUGCAAUGGUGUCAGCAUUUGGAAGCUGAUUAUGGGAUGGAUCCCCAGAUAUGGCAGUCUCUAGAUGGUCCAUCCUUUUGUCUCAGCUCCAAACUUUGUCUCUGUAACUCCUUCCAUAGCUGUUUUGUUCCCAAUUCUAAGAAGGGGCAAAGUGUCUACAGUUUUCUCUUCGUUCUUCUUGAGUUUCACGUGUUUCCCAAAUUGUAUCUUAUAUCUUGGGUAUUCUAAGUUUCUGGGCUAAUAUUCUUUUUGAUUUUUCAAGAUAGGGUUUCUCUGUGUAGCCGUGGCUGUCCUGGAACUCACUUUGUAGACCAGGCUGGCCUUGAAAUCAGAAAUCCACCUGCCUCUGCUUCCCAAGUGCUGGGAUUAAAGGCGUGUGCCACCACUGCCCUGCUAAAAGUUUAGAUUUUUAUGUAACAUUAAAAACUGGAUCAGUGUUCUGCAACAGAUGAGAUUUCCAGAAAAUAUAUUAGGAUAAAAACCGAGAAAUGUUUCAAGAACACACACAGGGGCUUGGGGAGGGGGGCAAGAACAGAGAAACCUCUUAGAAUAGUAAGCAAGCAGAAUAUAGACAGAGAGGGGAAAAUCAAAACAUAGAAGCAAACUGGAAAAGCUGUAUCAAGCAGAACCCAGUUGGUCAACUUAAAUCCACAUUUUAACUUCAGGUCGUUCUUUUUGCUGCUCCCAGACAGUCCUUCUUUCAGAGCCCCUGUUUGACCCUAGACUGGUCCUUGGUACCACUUUUUUUUUCUCUCCAUAUCCAUGUAAAUAUCUUAGAGAACACCAGAUAACCAUAUGUGACUGGUAUUAUCUCAGGGUCUAAAUUCUUUGAUUUUAUGAUAGUUUUUGUUGACUUCAUAGGUCUCUCCCAUGUCUUUCCAUCUCCUUUGUACUUAAUUUUCAAGAGUCUAUUUUCCCUUAAGAACCCUACUUAAUAUAAGACUGCAAGAGUUUGUCACCUCAGCUUUAUUAAUAUUUCCCAACACAGGUAGCAAACCAACACCAACAUAUUGGGCAAGAAUCCACUAGAAAUUUAAGUUAAUUAGCCCCAGAGUUAGAGUUUUAUUUUCUUUUUUUUCUUUAAGAUUUUAUUUAUUUAUAAUAUAUACGUAAACUGUAGCUGUCUUCAGACACACCAGAAGAGGGCUUCAGAUCGCAUUACAGAUGGUUGUGAGCCACCAUGUGCUUGCUUGGAUUUGAACUCAGGAUCUCUGGAAGAGCAGUUAGUGCUCUUUACAUUGAGCCAUCUCUCCAGCCCCCAAGUUUCAUUUUCUUUAUUUUAUAAAGUAUUUCUUAUUUAUGUAUUUAUUUUACACUCCAUAUUUUAGUUGUGCCCCCUUGUCUACCCACCUACGGUUCCACACCCCUUACCUUCUUCCAACCCCCUAUCUCCAUGUGAAUGUCCCCACACCCUAGCCAACUGACCUCUAAAUUCCUUGGUGCCUCCAUUCUCUUGAGGGUUAGGUUCUUCAUCUCUGAAUGAGCACAGACCAGGCAGUCCUCUGCUGUAUGUGUCUGUGGCCUCACCUCAUCUGUUGUAUGCUGCAUGUUUGCUGGUCCAGGGUGUGAGAGAUCUAAGGGGUCCAGAUUAAUUGAGACUGCUGGUCCUAAAGGGAUGCCCUCCUAUGCUUCUUUCAGUCUUUCCCUAAUUUAACAACAGGUGUCAGCUGCGUUUCUCCAUUAGAUGGGUGCAACUAUCUGCCUCUGACUCUUUCAGCUAUUUGUUGGGUCUUUCAGAGUGCAGUCAUGCUAGGUCCCUUUGUGAGUGCUCAUUAGCCUCAUUAAUAGUGUCAGACCUUCGCAUAUCCCCUUGAACUGGAUCUCUCUUUGGGUCUGUUUGCUGGGCCUUCUUUUCCUCAGGCUCCUCUCUAUUUCCAUCCCUGUAAUUUUUUCAGACAGGAACAAUUGUGAAUCAGAGUUGUGACUGUGGGAUGGCCCCCUCUUGCUUAUUUGAUGCCCUGUCUUCCUGCUUGAGGUGGGCUCUAUCAGGUCCCUUCCCUACUGUCUGGCAUUUCAUCUAAGGUCCAUCCCUUUGGGUCCUGUGAGUUGCUCACUUCCGAAGUCUCUGGUGAAUUUUGGAGGGUCCCCAACCUCCUAUGUCCAGAGGCUGCCUUUUUCCAGUUUUUCUGCUGGUCCUCAGGGCUUCUGUUCUUUUCCCUCAUCCAAUACCAAAUCAGGUUCCCUUCUUCCCCCGACCCCCAAGUAUCCUCCAAGUCCAUUUUCUUUCCCAGAUCCCUCCAUCCCUCCACACUUGUGAUUGCUUUCUUUUCUCUUCCAAGUGAAACUGAGUGGGGUCUUCAUUUGGGCCCUUCAGCUUGCUAACCUUUUUUAGUUCUGUGGAGAAUAUCUUGGGCAUUCUGUACUUUUUGUUUGUUUGUUUUUGGCUGAUAUCCACAUAUUAGGUAGUACAUAUCAUGCAUGUUCUUUGGGUCUGAGUAAACUCACUCAGGAUGAUAUUUUUUUAUUCUACCCGUUCGCCAACAAAACUCAGUAUGUCCUCGUUCUUAAUACCUGACUAGUAUUCCACUGUGGAGAAUUUCACCUGCCUUGCAUUACUAGGAUAGGGAAAAUUAAUCACUGCCUCCAAGUAGAGAGGGCAGUGAUAAUUUCCUGGAAUGAACAGUUACUGAUUGAAAUUUGUGUCUCCAGAUAGAGAGCAUAACAGAUAAAUGGUUUAUUAAAAAGUCUGCAGGAGCCGGGCUUGGUGGUGCAUGCCUUUAAUCCCAGCACUCAGGAGGCAGAGUCAGGCGGAUUUCUAAGUUAGAGACCAGCCUGGUCUAAAAACUGAGUUCCAAGACAGCCAGGGCUAUACAGAAAAACCCUGUCUCGAAAAACAACGAAAAAAAAAAUAGUCUGGAGCAAAUCAUAUUCUUUGAAGGUGGGUUCCAUGGAAAUUGUGGGUUAAUUAUCUGACAUGAAUAAAUAGAAAAAGCCUAAGAAUAGUCACAUACAAUGUUUUAGUUUCCUUAAUUUGUUUUGGAUUGUUUUAAUAUUCAAAAUUGAUGUGAUUUUUUUAAUUUGGUGGAUAUAUUAUUCCUCUGGGAGAGAGGUCAAAAUAAAGGGUUUUCUAGUUAGUGUCUCAAGGAUAUGCUGAUUUGGGAGAAAGGUCUUCUGUUUGUGUUUUUAGAAAAGAUGAUUAGGCUCUGGACAUCUUCCAGAGUUAUAUAGAUCAGAUUUGAUAGAGGGAUCCCCCUGAAAACUAGAUUCUACAAAAUCAACAAAAAAGUUAUCUUAAUGAUACUAUAAUUUGGUUUCCAAAUUUAUAUAUUACAGAAUUACAGCUUUGGUGAGAUCCAAUGUCAAACAUGACCCAGUUAAACUUCUCAUCUCAUUGAUUUUCAGCUGGAUCCAGUCAGGACAUAGACAUCAGAAAUUUUAAUAAUAUGGUUACUGUGGCUUUCUUUUUUUUAAUUUGUUUAAUUAAGUAUUUUCUUCAUUCACAUUUCCAAUGCUAUCCCAAAAGUCCACCCCAUAUGUAGUGCAUACUUAAACUAUAUCAUGCACUUAGAUAUAGUGAUUGGACUGAUUGUUUCCUGGAAAUUGUUCCAUAAACUGUACUGUAUUUUAAUUAUACUGGCAAUGAUUUGUGUGGAAUUAUACUCCCCAUGUCUGCCCCAGAUUGACAAAGUCUUAUGUACCAAGUUUUCAUGCUUAUCUCUUAGCGUGGUUCACUUCCCUAACUAAUCUAAAGGGACACCCUCAACUACAGUUGGAUCCCCAAGCAGACUAGAAUGUUCUGUUCAUCAAGGAACUUAGAUUUAUUGCACUUCUCCAUGCCCUUUUAUUAUUUGAAUCACACAUUUCAUAUUUGCUAUACUUGAUCAGAAUGUUUUUUGUGAGAGUAAACUACUCUAUGCUGGGCUUUUCUGAGACUUCUUUUGUAAAAAUAAUUAAUUGUAAUUUGUCUUAACCCUAGGUAUACACACAUGAAGGGGAAAAACAGCCCCAUUCUUCACCAAGAUAUCAAAACAGAACUCUCUAGGUGACAUAGUAGAAUUCUAUUUCACUAAAAGAUUUUGGUUCUGCACAUAUCAAAUCAUCCUCAGCAGCAAUGUUUCCAUGUUGCUGUUGAUGAUCCAUUGAACCCCAUUUAAAUCAUUCCAGGGCUCCCCAAAUCCACCUUCCCCAAAUCCAUAUACCGACAAAUAUAAAAUUGAUAUAAGUUUCCCAAAACUUAGGAAUCUCAUAGCUUUCAAAUGGUCUGAAUAUGCAAAGGCAUACAAAUACAAUUCCACUAUUUGUUCCUUCAAUAUGUUGCAUAAAAUAUCUUUCACUUUGUAUGUGUAACUUUUGUAAAAAAUAUCAUAUUUUUAAA
rnacentral:lncRNA from 1 species